AUAGUUACCGGGCACGGGAGAGACUGUGGUCACGAACGUAGUUUUUCCAGGACGAGGCUCGUCUACUGCACUCAGGACGUGCUGAUGUAGGGAUUUGUGCUAAUGAGAGGUUGCGUUCGUGCUCUCCCCUG
ensembl:snRNA U1 U1 spliceosomal RNA